rnacentral:rRNA from 1 species
AUACGUAGGGUGCGAGCGUUAAUCGGAAUUACUGGGCGUAAAGCGUGCGCAGGCGGUUUCGUAAGACAGAGGUGAAAUCCCCGGGCUCAACCUGGGAAUGGCCUUUGUGACUGCGAGGCUAGAGUGUGACAGAGGGGGGUAGAAUUCCACGUGUAGCAGUGAAAUGCGUAGAGAUGUGGAGGAAUACCGAUGGCGAAGGCAGCCCCCUGGGUUACUACUGACGCUCAUGCACGAAAGCGUGGGGAGC